GUUCGUAGGUGAACCUGCGGAAGGAUCAUUACCUAGAGUUGUAGGCUUUGCCUGCUAUCUCUUACCCAUGUCUUUUGAGUACUUACGUUUCCUCGGCGGGUCCGCCCGCCGACUGGACAAUUUAAACCCUUUGCAGUUGCAAUCAGCGUCUGAAAAAACUUAAUAGUUACAACUUUCAACAACGGAUCUCUUGGUUCUGGCAUCGAUGAAGAACGCAGCGAAAUGCGAUAAGUAGUGUGAAUUGCAGAAUUCAGUGAAUCAUCGAAUCUUUGAACGCACAUUGCGCCCCUUGGUAUUCCAUGGGGCAUGCCUGUUCGAGCGUCAUUUGUACCUUCAAGCUCUGCUUGGUGUUGGGUGUUUGUCUCGCCUCUGCGUGUAGACUCGCCUCAAAACAAUUGGCAGCCGGCGUAUUGAUUUCGGAGCGCAGUACAUCUCGCGCUUGCACUCAUAACGACGACGUCCAAAAGUACAUUUUUACACUCUUGACCUCGGAUCAGGUAGGGAUACCCGCUGAACUUAAGCAUAUCAAUA
rnacentral:rRNA from 1 species